rnacentral:rRNA from 1 species
AGAGUUUGAUCCUGGCUCAGAUUGAACGCUGGCGGCGUGCUUAACACAUGCAAGUCGUACGAGAACGCUUUAGCUUGCUAGAGCUAGUAAAGUGGCGCACGGGUGAGUAACACGUGGGUAAUUUGCCUUCAGGUUCGGGACAACACUGCGAAAGCGGUGCUAAUACCGGAUAAUAUCAGUGAAGCUUCGGCUUUGUGGAUCAAAGGUGGCCUCUACAUGUAAGCCACUGCUUGAAGAAAAGCCCGCGUACCAUUAGCUUGUUGGUGAGGUAACGGCCCACCAAGGCGACGAUGGUUAGCUGGUCUGAGAGGAUGGCCAGCCACACUGGAACUGAGAUACGGUCCAGACUCCUACGGGAGGCAGCAGUGAGGAAUUUUGCGCAAUGGGGGAAACCCUGACGCAGCAACGCCGCGUGAGUGAAGAAGGCCCUUGGGUCGUAAAGCUCUGUCAAGUGGAAAGAAAAUGUUUAUUACGAAUGGUAGUAAGCAUUGACGGUACCGCUAAAGGAAGCACCGGCUAACUCCGUGCCAGCAGCCGCGGUAAUACGGGGGGUGCAAGCGUUAUUCGGAAUUAUUGGGCGUAAAGGGCGCGUAGGCUGUGUAUUAGGUCAGAUGUGAAAGCCCGGGGCUUAACUCCGGAAGUGCAUUUGAAACCGAUACACUUGAGUAUGGGAGAGGGAAGUGGAAUUCCUGGUGUAGAGGUGAAAUUCGUAGAUAUCAGGAGGAACACCGGUGGCGAAGGCGACUUCCUGGCCCAAUACUGACGCUGAGGCGCGAAGGCGUGGGGAGCAAACAGGAUUAGAUACCCUGGUAGUCC